rnacentral:rRNA from 1 species
GACGAACGCUGGCGGCGUGCUUAACACAUGCAAGUCGAGCGGUAAGGCCCUUCGGGGUACACGAGCGGCGAACGGGUGAGUAACACGUGGGUGACCUGCCCUCAGCUUCGGGAUAAGCCUGGGAAACCGGGUCUAAUACCGGAUACGACCACGGGGCGCAUGCUCUGUGGUGGAAAGUUUUUUCGGCUGGGGAUGGGCCCGCGGCCUAUCAGCUUGUUGGUGGGGUGAUGGCCUACCAAGGCGGUGACGGGUAGCCGGCCUGAGAGGGCGACCGGCCACACUGGGACUGAGACACGGCCCAGACUCCUACGGGAGGCAGCAGUGGGGAAUAUUGCGCAAUGGGCGGAAGCCUGACUCAGCGACGCCGCGUGGGGGAUGACGGCCUUCGGGUUGUAAACCUCUUUCGCCAGGGACGAAGCUUUUGUGACGGUACCUGGAGAAGAAGCACCGGCCAACUACGUGCCAGCCGCCGCCGUAA